rnacentral:lncRNA from 1 species
CAAAUAUACAGUUUAUUAUUUGGGCAAUUGCUUAUAUAUAUCUCUGAAAAGUUUUAGAUUUUCUUAUUUGUCCCCUCUUAGGAGGCUAAUAUAAAAGAUAAAUAUUUAACGUUCCAAGUUUUUUCAAAUAUACCCCUAGAAACAGUCUUUAUCUUUAUAAAAUUACUAUUUUGCGCUUUUAAAUAUAUUUUUCUACCGUCACCAACUUUUCUUAAGGGCAAAAGAGGUACUUUGACUUCUUCUUUUUUUUUUUAACACCGGUAGAAAUUUAAUCCGAAUUUAACCUGAGAUGGCUUAACGGGUGCUAAUAGCGGAUAUUUUUGAAUAACAAAGAAAUAUACGAAAGGUAUAUUUGAAACAAAAAAAGUAAGAAUAUAUAAGAUAUUUCAAAAGUUUUGAGAGAUAUAUAGACAAUUAUCUCUUAUUAUUUCAUUUUGGUUAAAUUACAAAAAAAAAAAAUUCUGUAAAUACCUGCUUUUUUAUUUUUUCUCUUUGAUUUUGAAAAACCUACAUUUUGCCUCCUUAAAAUUUUAAAAAUAUUUUCAGGAAGGUACGACGCAAAUGGAGAGGACAAAAUGACCAAAUUGACCUUUCUUCUUUUAUAAAAAAAUAAUUUUUUAAUAUAUUUCUAUCAUUUUAUAGAUUUAUAUAACAACUGUGGGAGAACCAUGUGCUUAAGUUGUAAGUUGCCACCGUAAUUUUGGUUAAUUACAAAAAAAAUUUCUGUAAAUACCUGCUUUUUUAUUUUUUCUCUCUGAUUUUGAAAAACCUACAUUUUGCCUCCUUAAAAUUUUAAAAAUAUUUUCAGAAAGGUACGACGCAAAUGGAGAGGACAAAAUGACCAAAUUGACCUUACUUCUUUUAUAAAAAAAUAAUUUUUUAAUAUAUUUCUAUCAUUUUAAAGGGCAUUUUCAGUAUAAAUUAUAAAAGAUAGAUGGAAUAGUGAUGAAACCCUGACGAAGGGGGGCUAAAUACAACAACUUAAAAUGUUGAGGGAGGUAAAAUAUAAAUUUUUGAAAGUUAUGGAGAAAAAGUAAAAAAAAAUAGAUGUUUAUAAGGGGAUUUUCUAUAAUUUAGCCUUUUAUUUUUAAAUUUGAGAACUUUAGAUAGAUUCAAGAGUCAUAUGUUUGUUAUUCUUAUAUAGACUACAGAAACUAAAGAUCAUGCAUAAAUACAUACAUAC